UACAGAGGGGGCAAGCGUUGUCCGGAAUCACUGGGCGUAAAGGGCGCGUAGGCGGCCUGAUAAGUAGGGGGUGAAAUCCUGCGGCUUAACCGCAGGGCUGCCUUCUAAACUGUCGGGCUCGAGCACAGUAGAGGCAGGUGGAAUUCCCGGUGUAGCGGUGGAAUGCGUAGAGAUCGGGAAGAACAUCAGUGGCGAAGGCGGCCUGCUGGGCUGUUGCUGACGCUGAGGCGCGACAGCGUGGGGAGCAAACAGG
rnacentral:rRNA from 1 species